CUUGUACCCGGUUCUCUUCUUAUUACACGGACUUGAUACAGACUUCUUUCCAUUUUUAACCUUCAAUUUCUAAUUGCAGAUUCUUUUAUGUAGUCGAUGCUUUCCUUCUCAGCACCCACUCUCGAGGCAAAGUUUUGAUGGUGCAGUGCACGCACGUUAAAUUGAACAAACAACACACGAAGAAAUUAAACAUGAAUUUUGACAAAUUGGUUAAGUUGUUCCAAGUUAUUAAGUUAAAAGUUUAAAUUUUUUAAGGCGACUGUUUAUUCAAAAUCUUCCUCAUCGCUCAUACAUUCAAUUGGAAUACGUUGAAUGUUCAUGAUUGCAUCAUGUUUCUCCAAUUCAUGUUUAAGAAUCUCGUCGACAAUAGAAUCUCCCACACUUGAACCUAUUAGAACAAUAGAAAAUGCAAUGAUAACUCA